rnacentral:rRNA from 1 species
UACGUAGGGGGCUAGCGUUGUCCGGAAUUACUGGGCGUAAAGGGCGUGUAGGCGGCCAACUAAGUCCGACGUGAAAUCCCCAGGCUUAACCUGGGAACUGCGUCGGAUACUGGAUGGCUUGAAUCCGGGAGAGGGAUGCGGAAUUCCAGGUGUAGCGGUGAAAUGCGUAGAAUAUCUGGAGGAACACCGGUGGCGAAGGCGGCAUCCUGGACCGGCAUUGACGCUAAAGCGCGAAAGCCAGGGGAGCAAACGGG